AAUGAACGCUGGCGGCAGGCCUAACACAUGCAGGUCGAACGGAUCCUUCGGGAUUAGUGGCGGACGGGUGAGUAACGCGUGGGAACGUGCCCUUUGGUUCGGAAUAGCCUCGGGAAACUGGGAGUAAUACCGGAUAAGCCCUUCGGGGGAAAGAUUUAUCGCCAAAGGAUCGGCCCGCGUUGGAUUAGGUAGUUGGUGGGGUAAUGGCCUACCAAGCCGACGAUCCAUAGCUGGUUUGAGAGGAUGAUCAGCCACACUGGGACUGAGACACGGCCCAGACUCCUACGGGAGGCAGCAGUGGGGAAUCUUAGACAAUGGGGGAAACCCUGAUCUAGCCAUGCCGCGUGAUCGAUGAAGGCCUUAGGGUUGUAAAGAUCUUUCAGUUGGGAAGAUAAUGACGGUACCAACAGAAGAAGCCCCGGCUAACUCCGUGCCAGCCGCCGCAGUAAUAC
rnacentral:rRNA from 1 species